rnacentral:lncRNA from 1 species
UAUAACAAUCCUCUCCAACCCUUUCUUUGUUCAGGUUUUGUUUUCCUUUUUAGUUUUCCAUUCUUUUUAUUUCCUUUAUAUAUAUACACACACACAAAUACUUGUUUGUUGGACAUGAUGUUAAUUAUUGUUGAUAUACCCUUGUUGUUGUUGCUGCUGCAAAUCAAUGGUGAAAAGAAAAUGCAAUGAGAAAGUUAAAUCAAAUAUUCCAAUAGACACAUCGUUUUUUAACACAACUUUUUCUUUUUUAUGGCAUUAAAUUAGGUAUCACAUGAACAAUUGUCUUUUAUGAUAGGAUGGACUACUAAGUUGUUAAUGCAUUUCAACCUCAAAAUUCUUGCUACAACUUACCAUUUUUUGUUUUGAAAAACUAACAUAUUCCUUUGUUAACUAUUUUGAUUUUUGUUUUUGGGUGAAACAAUGUGCAAAGGGCACAUGAGGGGUUUCUUUAUUGUUUGUUAUACUUUAUUUAUUAGAAAAAAGAUACGUUGAGUCAUUUGGAUACACUUGGACAUCUACAUUAAGUGGACACUCCGGUCAUAACACUCUCAUCACUCUCGCUUCAUUAAUAUAGUAGAACAAGAACACAGAAAGUCGGAAGAAAAUGGCUAAAGAUAAGCUCGCAUAGAGUUAGACAAAAGCAUUGAUAUUUAAAGCAAUAGAACUACCACUAUUGUUUUUAAAGAGAUUUGAUCUACUAGUCCAAAAGCAUGAAUGUCAUCCCAAAUCUCGACAUUGCUUUUUUCAACCCCUUGAAUAUUCUAUUGCUUCUCUCAAUCCAGAUAAUUCAUAAAGCCACAGCAAUAGUGUUGAAAGUAAUGACCGUUUUCUGUUAUUUAUAUUAGUAUUGCACACAUCUUUGCAAAGAGCAGCCAUGCAUAUUGGAGAAGUUGUGAUUCCAAUUCAUCACAAUUAAUAUAUCUUUAUCCACAACCUUGUAGUGAAAGAGCAGUGGAAAAGGUGAUCCAAGUCUUUCAAUUGGUUUUUUCACAGAACACGUCAAUAUGAGCUGAUAUUCUAGGAGGGAAACCUCUUUUGGAGCUUGUCGGCAGGGUACAUACAUUCAUGAAUCAAAGUCCAAAUCAAAAACUUACAUUUUUUUUGGUAUAUUGGAUUUACAUAGAGUUUUGUAAGUGAUUGAACUUAUUUCAGAUGCUUCAAUCAGAGUGUUCAAGAGGAGAGCCUUUUUAGCUAAUGACGUGUCGAACCUGCCAUUUGUGUUAAUUAAGUUUCCAUAUGGAAAUAUCGUUACCCCUGUUUGGAUUUGGUGCAGUGAAGAUUGCUUUUAUGUUGUCCCAAAUUUGAAUUUCAUGGCUUCUAAAGGGGCCGGCGAGCUUGAAUAUCCCAUUCAGGAGUAGCCGAAUUUCAAAAGUCUUUUACUCUUCCUUGUUGGUUCUUUGAGAGAGCAUAUAGUCUAGGCACAGAGGUCGCAAGAGGAGAUUUAUUAUUCCAUAGCCUAUUCCAAAAAGAAACUGAAUCAUCACAGUUAAUUUUUCAAGUGUGUUGUCCAUUGAACCAGUCGAUGGCUUUAAUCAUGGUACUCCAAGGUGCUUUAGAAUUGCUAUAUCUGCCUUUGAUAGGGAAAUCGCCAUUGGAAGCCUGCUUAUAUUUUGCACUCCAUGGGGAUUAUUGUUUGGUUAUAUAUAUAAUUCAAUUUGAUUAAACAAAGGUUGGGCUUGGCAUAGUGGUUUUUUAUUCCGUUUGACUCUUAACUUUCGGUUUUCUUAAUUCUAUUCAUAUUGUUUUUUUUUAAAAAAAAAAAUCGAUUGAACAAAAAAAAAAAUCAGUGUUGAAAAGUUAAUUUUAAUUAGAAUUUUUCUCACAUAUAUAAAUAAAUUUCAGCUUUAAUUCUUCCUUUUCUGUUUCUGUUUGCCCUGCUAGGAAUGUUUCUUAUUUUGAUUAAGAAGAUAUAUAUGAGGCGAAAUUUUCAAACUUAUAAGAGAUUAAUAAAUGGUUUAAAUCACA